CGUGUAGGCGGAUCGGUCAGUCGGACGUGAAAGCCCCGGGCUUAACCUGGGAAUUGCAUUCGAUACUGCCAGGCUGGAGUGUAGUAGAGGGAAGCGGAAUUCCGGGUGUAGCGGUGAAAUGCGUAGAGAUCCGGAGGAACAUCAGUGGCGAAGGCGGCUUCCUGGACUAACACUGACGCUGAGGUGCGAAAGCGGUGGGGAGCAAACA
rnacentral:rRNA from 1 species